AUUUAUAUCUCCUUCUAAACGUCUUUUUGAAUUUUUUUCCCCCUGUCUUAUCACAAAAGAAUCGAUUGAAAGCUCGACACGUGAGAGGACUUUCUAUGAGAAACUGACCCCGAUUUAGAUGUUACUAAGGUGAAGAAAACCGGAAAACCUCACGUGGCCAACCCGUUGGAGAGACGCGAACCCACGACCUACUCUACCAGUGUUCGCUAGUUUCAUCCACUCUACCACUGUUAUAAGCAAGGAAUUUGAGGCCUCUGCUAUGUGAUGUUUCUCUCUUCUCUGAAAGCCAUAGAUAUAUAAUAGAAUCCGCUUAUUGUAAUCACUUUUGGGCUCAUUUAUACUGAUAACAUUAAACAGAGGGAGUUGAAUCUACUCAAGGCUGAAGAAAGAAAGAGAGCGAGAAGCAUGAGAAAGAGGAUAAGAAAGAGGAGUAAGGUAUCAGUAGGAUGCUGAGCAGAUAGGAUGAAUCAAAAACAUAUUUUUCUUAUUAAAAUGUAUAGACUAGAUCGGUAAAAUUAAAAAUUUAAUUUAUUUGAAUGCU